rnacentral:rRNA from 1 species
UGGGGAAUAUUGCGCGAUGGGGGAAACCCUGACGCAGCGACGCCGCGUGCGGGAUGAAGGCCUUCGGGUUGUAAACCGCUUUUGAUUGGGAGCAAGCUUUCGGGUGAGUGUACCUUUCGAAUAAGCGCCGGCUAACUACGUGCCAGCAGCCGCGGUAAUACGUAGGGCGCAAGCGUUAUCCGGAAUUAUUGGGCGUAAAGCGAGCGCAGGCGGUCAAUUAAGUCUGAUGUGAAAGCCCCCGGCUCAACCGGGGAGGGUCAUUGGAAACUGGUUGACUUGAGUGCAGAAGAGGAGAGUGGAAUUCCAUGUGUAGCGGUGAAAUGCGUAGAUAUAUGGAGGAACACCAGUGGCGAAGGCGACUCUCUGGUCUGUAACUGACGCUGAGGCUCGAAAGCGUGGGUAGCAAACAGG